rnacentral:lncRNA from 1 species
GCCCGCAGGUUCCAGCCCCGACCCGGGCGCGCGGGGCCGACUAGGGUCGGGUCCAGUGUGCGGUGGUCGCUCCGCUCCGGGCCGCUCCGCUCUGGGCGUCAGGGCGCGGGGAGCUGCCCCGGGGUUCUGUCCACCGGGGAGGAAAGCCACGAGCACUGAGCGCCUCCUGAGAGCCAGCCCUGACGUGAACUCAUUUUAUCUGCCACGACCCAGAAGGAGUCUACUGCUAAGAUUUCAGCAUGUCCUGUGGCUGAGUUAAUCAGAGUUAUGACAGGAAGGUACCGGGCACACCAUCGCAAUGCUCCAUCAAUGCUAGUAUGUUGUGUUCUUUCCUUCAUAUCAAGUCAACUCAAGCUUGCUCUACUUACCUGGUGUACACAGUCUAAGAACUGUAAGAAGACUGGAGCAAAACCACUCCCCUGACAGUUGAGGGUCAAGCUGCUCCUCUGACUGAAUUUGUGACCAAAAGAGAGCCACUCUUUUUCAACCAACAUCUGGAAGCCUUCAAGUGUCCUAUAAAAGGGAUCACUGAGUAACUGAACCAGGGAUGUCACCUAGGGCAUAAGCAGGAUGGAUUGUCAUUAAUUUUAGUUCUGAAAAAGGCCUAUUACUAAGAUAAAAGCACUUCCUUCUGAUGAUAGCUAAUUCACAAAUUUACCUGGACAGCAAAUUUGUUCACUAACCAUUCCAGGAUGGCCAAUAAAAUUAAUUUUGUAAACUUGCCAGUAAAAACUAAAGCUCAAAUUCAUUUUGGCUACAAGUUUACUUUCAGGGAAUUGAGACUUUAAUCCUUAACUGGCCAGUUUGCUGACAGCAACCUUUUCCUAAGUUAAUCAGAGGCCAGAGGAUCAGUUAAAAUCAAUUCUACUUUUUGGCAGAUGCAGAUUAAUGUCUUAAUGUAGUCUGAACUCACACUUUUCACUCUGGAGUGAGUUAAGGCGGGGCUUAUAGAGAGCCAGGGGAUGGACUGACAAAACCCAGGAAGGAUGGUCCACGCCUCACACUGCUGGUCAAGGGCUCCAUCCGCAAGCCUGCAUGGUACAUCUGUGGAUGGGAGAGCUUGAUGCCCGGAGCCAGAGCUCCAGGCUGCGUAGGGGCUAAGAGCUCAUGGUACGGAGUUUUCUGAUGGAUACCAGGUGCUGUUUAACACAGGACUUUCUCUGUCCAUAAACACAUUAGUCAUUAUACAAAAGAGUCAUCUGAAGAAUUUAAAAAUGACCAAAUGGAAAUAUAAAUAUAAAAUAUCAAAAAAUAUGUCUAAUAGUUUACUUGUGCAGUGAUGUCCCAGCCUUCCUCCAAACAGACCAAAACUGAGGAACCAUUCUCAAGUACUUCUGAUACAACCACAGCCAGCUGCAUUAUCCUGUGAAGCUAAGAGACAGGAAGGAGAACACAAUUAGACCAAGCGCUUUCUGAGUGCAGAAGUCAGAGAGAGUUGCUUUCAACCCUGGAUAAUCAAACGACUUAGGGAUAAAGCGCUUGCACAAAAGAACCACAUAAUGUUUUAAAUACCUAAAGUUCUUUCAAAUCAAGAUUAAACAAUGACACUUUUGACUGGAUGCAAUGACUCAUGCCCAUAAUCCCAGCACUUUGGGAGGCCGAGCCGGGCAGGUCAUUUGAGGUUCGGAGUUCGAGACCAGCCUGGGCAACAUAAGCAAGACCCUGUCUCGAAAAAUAAAAAUAAAAAAGAUACUCCUAUUUGUCUAUACUGUGUACUAAAUGAGAAAAAAACUUUCAAUAUAUUUGUGCUAAGUUUUUAAAGCCACAUCAAUUGGCUCAAAGUCCUUAAUAAACAAUUAAGGUAUGAGAAUAGUAUAUAGAUUUUAAAACCAGAUGUAUAACAUUGUAAUUUUAAAAAAUAUUUUAAUGAUCAUCAGACAUAAUUUGCAAUUUGAAUCCAACUCUGAACAAGAACAAAAAUGAAAAAACCCAUCUCUUAAACAGAGCUAGGCUACUUUAAACACAGGAAUAAGGCAAAUGCCCUACUCAGUAAUGAGAAGCUCCUCAUGUAACUGUUUCUACAACAUAGCUAUCACCAGGCCUGAAUUCUUUUGGGCUCAGAAUUUGUUCUAAGAAAUGGCUAUUAUUAAAAAGUCAAAAAAUAACAGAUGCUGGCGAGCCUGUGGAGAAAAGGGAAUGUAUAUACAUUUCUGGUGGGAAUGUAAAUUAGUUCAGCCAUUGUAGAAAGUAGUUUGGUGAUUUCUCAAAUAACUUAAAACAGAAUUACCAUUUGACCUAGCAAUCCCAUUACUGAGUAUAUACCCAAAGGAAUAUAAAUUGUUCUACCAUAAAGUCACAUGCACACACAUGUUCAGUGCUGUACUAUUCACAAUAGCAAAGACAUGGAGUCAACCUAUAUGCCCAUCAACGGUAGACUGGAUAAAGAAAAUAUGGUACAUAUACACCAUGGAAUACUACACAGCCAUAAAAAGAAUGAGCUUAUGUCCUUUGCAGUAACACAGCUGAAGCAAACUAACACAGGAAUGGAAAACCAAAUACUGCAUAUUCUCACUUAUAAGUGGGAGCUAAACAUUGAGUACACAUGGACACAAAGAAAGGAAUAGACGCCUGGGGCGUAUUUGAGGUUGGAGGUGAGAGGAGGGUGAGGAUAGAAAAACUACCUAUCAGGUACUAUGCUUAUUACCUGGGUGAUGAAAUAAUCUGUACACCAAACUCCCAAGAUAUGCAAUGUACCUAUACAACAAACCUACAUAUGUACCCCUGAACACAAAAUAAAAGUUAAAAAAAGAAUUUGCUUUAAGAGUUAACUUUUAAGAUGUCAAUAUCCCAAGUGGGCAAUUAUUUUCCACUGUCUUUAGUCCCUAUCUUUUGGUACAGGUCCACUUUCUAGCAAAGAGUAGAGCACAGAAUGUAUCAGAAACAUGGAUAGAUAAGUUGGGUGGAGGGGUCCGUUUGGAGCUGGGGCUCAUAGCCUGGGGACAGAAGGGAGUAUCGACCAGUUCCUUCCACGGGUAUGCAAAGCACCCUAAAUUGCCUUAAUAAUAAUGAACACAGCAUGAUACAUUUAUAGCCAAAUAUUUAUGUGGCGGCAUUUCUCUUUGGUUUAAGUAUCUUGAGAACAGUCACAGCCCUGAGUACUGACAUCAUUUCCUUUUUUUUUUUUUGCCUUUUAGUCCAAUGUGCUGUGGGAAACAAGAGGCAGGAUGCUUGGAGGUAGAUGGAGGCAGGGGACUGGGAAUUUCUGCAAGGUGAUAACAAAUAAUGGGGGCCAGGCGUGGCAGCUCAUGCCUGUAAUCACAGCUCUUUGGGAGGUCAAGGUGGGAGGAUUACUUGAGGCCAGGAGUUCAAGACCAGCCUGGGCAAUAUAAGAAAUAAAGGGGCUUAAAGACAAGGCCCUUUAAUUUCUCAAUAAAAGUUCAAUUAAGAAUAUCCCAAAGUUGACUGAACUGAAAGAUGAUAGACACUGUGUUUUUUUUUCAAGCCUUAGGUAGGCUUGGGGGCAUCCAGUGUGCCUUUGGUGGGUAGUGUGGGGUGGAUCUAAAAUCUAGAGACCUGGGAUAGGCAGACAAAUGAAAGGUGAGAGCUCUUGGGAGUCAUGCAGAAGUUGCCCUCUGCCCUGGAUCCUUACUGUAUUGACAACAGAGCAGGAGCCCUGUAAAUACAUGCUGAUUAAAUUUACAUCAAAGAUUUCCAUCUAAAAAUAAUUUUCUCCUUAGUGUCCUAUAGAUACCAAACUUUUAAAUACACAGAGAUAAAAACCCAGCGAUCAAGACUUCUACUCCCUCACCUCCUAUACCAGAUGAUUUCCUUAGUCUGAAAGGCCUUUACUGAUGGCACACAAUGAAGGAGGAGAAUGUUGGGGAGUAGGGGAACAAAGUAUUUUUUUUCUCAAAUACAGUUCUGUAUAUCUACUUGGGCCUCUGUUUCUUUGAGUUAUAAAGAAAGAAGCUGCUUCAGACAUUACCUGUGGGAACCACUCAGAAUCUCCCAGCGCUUUCAGGAAGGUCACUUCUGAGUCAGUAGGGAUGGUGCUUGGGAUACAAGCCCUCAUCAGCUUCUUAAAACUGGCUUUCACUUGCCGGAUUUCAUGAAAUUCAACAGGAACAAACUCACAAUUUAAAGCAAAUUCUACCUUGAAGUUCUGCGGAUGAAGAUUCAGAGAAUUAGGCAGAUGAAGUGCUAUAGGUAAAAGAGUGAUGUUUCCAAUGGGGCAGUGCAUAAUGACAAAGUUAUUUGGGGCCAAAUAGCUGCAGAGGCUGCCAAUGGGUCAAGAAAGUCAAUCUUGUACAGCAAUGUGUCAGUGUUGGUGGGAACAGCCAUUCAGUACAAGCUAGUGGUUUGCCCAGAAUGGCAAAUCUAGUCCUUACUAGAGGUAGAUUACUUAGCCUAAGAAUGCGUUCAUUCUGAGAACUGGAAGAGCCUACUGGUAGACUGGAACUUGAUGGAGCUCAUAAUACCAAAUAUAAGUCAAUUAUAAGGCCAUGAACCUGGAAGUUUAAAGAGAAACUAAUGAUACAUGGACAGUAUGAUUACUCCAACAGUGUAAACUAAGUCUUCCCAAGAUGUAUAUGGUAAGGGAUAGGUAACACACUGUUGGAGUUCCAGACUGUACGUGUAUUAAAGUUUGUAGAUAUGCACAUAUUUGUUUCUUAUUAUGCAAGUAAAACAUAUUCAUAAUAAAAAUGAAAAAAGGUAGAGAUAAAUAUUGAGAAAGAAAUAGAAAUCACUUUCUUACUGCCCCAAGACUACCAACAUUGUGGUUAUUUUUUUGUUUUUUUGGGAUGGAGUCUUGCUCUGUCACCCAGGCUGGAGCGCAAUGGUGCGAUCUUGACUGACUGCAACCUCCGCUUCCCAGGUUCAAGCGAUUCUCCUGCCUCAGCCUCCCGAGUAGCUGGGACUACAGUCGUGCGCCACCAUACCCAGUUAAUUUUUGCAUUUUUAGUAGAGAUGGGCUUUCACCAUGUUGCCCAGGAUGGUCUCAAUCUUUUGACCUUGUGAUCCGCCCACCUCGGCCUCCCAAAGUGCUGAGAUUACAGGCGUGAGCCACCACGCCCAGUCCUACUUCUUAAAAGUCAAUAAUAAAAAAUUACAUGGUCGGGCACGGUGGCUCAUGACUGUAAUCUCAGCAGUCUGGAAGGCUGAGGCAGACAGAUUACCUGAGGUCAGGAGUUCAAGACCAGCCUGGCCAACACGGUGAAAUCCCAUCUCUACUAAAAAUACAAAAAGUAGCCAGGCGUGGUGACAGGCACCUGUAAUCGCAGCUACUCGGGAGGCUGAGGCAGGAGAAUCACUUGAACCCCGGAGAUGGAGGUUGCAGUGAGCUGAGAUGACACCACUGCACUCCAGCGUGGGCAGCAGAGUGAGACUCCACCUUAAAAAAAAAAAUUACAUAAAAAAACCACGAAAGGCUUUGUUCAUUUCUAUCUUUGGGAUAAUAUUUUUUCACUUAAUAUAUGUAUCAACCUAUAUUUAUUUGAGUACUUUCUCAUUUACAUCUUUAAUCCUUAUGGAAUUUAUUUUGUGUGUGGUAUGAGUGUUGCAUUUGCAAUUAAAGAAUGCUAUACUGA